CAGUGUUGUUCUCAGACACUUUGCGAAUGCCACCUCAUAUCUGGAACAGGAGGCUAAUAUACACAUCUCUCACACACACUCACACACACGCACACACGCGCACACAAACGCUCACACACACACACAAACGCUCACACACACAUACUCACACACACACACACACUCUCACUCAGACACAGACACUGCUGCUCCCCAUGUUUGGGAUUAGUUUUUGGGAGUUUGGAGUGGCGGCUUCAGCUCGUGAGCGAUUAGGGCGUGCAGUCUCUCUGGGGCCUUUGUGGUUUGGAGAGCGUACAGAUGAAUUAUCUGUGUGGUUUUCGGUAAGGGGGGGCGGGGGGUAGUUAAUCAUCUCGUCCCUCCCCAGGCGUUUGGGAAGCCCUGAGCUCCAUAAUCAAACCUUAAGCCCCACAGCGUGCUGACAGAAGCAGAAGGCCCUGAAGAUGCAGAGCUUCUUUUUCCUGUGGUCACUGUCGGCACACGCCUCUGUCCGCUGUGUCAUCCAUCAUCCUCAGGCUUCGGCAGGUAGCAGCUGGAUCCGGAGCCCCCACCUGGAUGUCAGGACUCUCUCAGCAUCGACAGAACCAUCCACAAAACUCAGUCCAGCUAAAAGGAACAAGGGAAGUCACAGGAAAUGCAUCUCUGAGGAAGUCGACUGUUAGCAUUGUUCAGGAGAACCAAAAAAACUCCACCUCCAAUCCCACUGUGCUAACCAACGACCCUACCAAGCCACUGUCACAGUGAUGUUGAGGAGACACGUCGACUGAGCCCAGGCCUGGUACUGCCAGAUUAUCCUCUCUUCCUUAAAGUAGGGAAUCGCGACGUGCGUUCAGACAGACGCGGAAAUGGGAGUGCGGGACCAGGGUUCGAAUGCGCCUGGGUGCGAUCCUCUCACCUCGUUUCACCUCCCUGGGGCAUCGGGAGGACAGGCGCCAUCUUGUCAGCGAUGUCCCAUCGCUAUCGAGACCCCCAAAGGCUAGCCGGCGCAUCACACCUCCUCUUCAGUUCUCUCGUUCUUUUUGAUCAUUUUCCUCCCCAAAUUCUAUCAGGAUACAAGUCUCAACAUCACUCGAACAUACAGUAAGAGUCACACCAGGAGUGUCAACACCCACCCCCCCUUCAAAAAAAAGAAAACUCUCUCAUCAUACACCUGGAGUCUCUCUGCUUGAUGUUAUGCUUAACUUAACUAGAAUGCUUAAUUAAUGACCCCCACUGCAGAGUAGGGUGCUGGUUUUGCACAAGACAAGCCUUCACCCAGCCUCAUGUUGGACAGUAAUUCAGAGCCUGGGGCAUGGAGGGGGGGGGGGCACCUGUCUGGGUUAGGGGGAUCCAGGCCUAAAGCAAUCCAGAACAGGAGGAACAGGACGGGAGUCUUUUUGCAGAUUCAGCAAAAAAAAAAAGAAGGAAAAAAAGAGAAAAAGAAAAAAAAAGCUGGGAUCCUUCUGGCGCGCUGCUUCACCUCUCUUCACGCUCCUUCCUUUCCAAUCCCUUGAUUAGGGAAUACGGGAAAGCUGAGAAUAUCGACCUGGGAAUAACAACAUUCCGGAGUUCAGACAGCCCCGAUGGAGGGGCUGGCUGCAAUAUCCUGGCUGAACAUUCCCGUUUUCCAAAUGACACGGGGCCGUGCCAAGCUGCUUCUGCUGAGCGGGGGUUACUGCUUUAUUUUUCUGAAGAUACUUUCACAUUUUGGCUCUAAAUUUAAGAACAAAUUGUUUGACGAAGAGCAAAAACAAGGCAAGCCUUUUGAGUGCUUUUUUUCAUCGCUUUUCUUCUUACAUUAAUAAUAAUUUUUGUUUGCAUUAAUCAUUAGGGGCAGUUUUCGUCAGUACAUGCUUUCAGCAACUGAGAGAGAGAGAAAGAGAGAGAGAACAGACUCUUCAUGGGGCAUGAAUGUAUAUCUACAGUAGCAGAAUAUGGACAUGUAUAUUAUCCAAGUGCAGUAUUAAAACAUGAAUUGCUUGUACAGAGAGAGAAAGAGAGAGACUUAUUUAUUUUUCGCCGUUUUGGCUGUGCUGUGAAAGGGCUGCUUGUGAGGGGGACCCGUCUGCCCCUGUCCUGCCCUACAUGUGAGUUUAAUUAAUGGCCCUCUGCCAUUCCUAAGAGGGGGGGGGGGGGGAGGGGGGGGCAGAGGUUCAUUUAGGACUGCUUCCUUUUGGGAUUCCUGGAAAAGAGUCAGACCCCCACACACACACACACACCCCGCA